UCAAAGAUCGAACGGUUUAGAUUUCAGUCAAAUCCCAAAGUACAAGGACACGCUUUCUCUCUUCCCCAAGCCAACUCACACGUUUUCUCUGUCCAAAUCACGAUGAUCUCUCUCUUUCAACCUUUCUCAAACAAAUAAUAAUGAACGCCCUUUCUUCUUUUCUUUUCUUUAUCUCUCUCAUCUACUACCCCAAAUGAGAAACUCCAUAGCCGUAUCACCCCUGUCGUACCUCUGUAGAGAUUCGUCUUUCCUAACCCAUGAUUCUUUAUUUGAUGGCAAAAAGGAUCCAAAUCAGUGCAACAAGAUUUUUUAUUACAAAUCCACACUAAAGUUUCAAUGAAAACUUAUCUUCAACCAAUUAUUGGGUUGACGACUAUAAGAUCACACAGCUCGGGGUUUAAAUCGCUAGAAGUCGGUUCCUUCGAUCGGAAAUCUAUAGUAUCGAGUUCCUUACUUUUCGCAUUGUUUUUUCAUAUUUAUUUCAUUAAUGUUGUAUUACACUAAAUAUGUAUUUUAUGUGGCUUUGAUUGGAAUUGAUUGACAUUGUUUUUUUUU